GAACAGACACAUACACACUAGCUAACAGACACACACAUUUACUGACAGAGACACACUCAGCAACAGACAUACAUACACACUCACUUACAAAACAUACACUUUCACUGACAAACACACACUCACUAACAGACAUCAAACACACUCAGUAACAGACACACACAGUAACACACUCACUAGCAGACACACACCCAAUAACAGACACAUUCACUG